AUACAAUGAUGUGGGCACUUCCUUAACAAAUCUUUAAAUCUUUCCCAUGCAUCAUACAACGUUUCCUUUUCUGUCUGGUAGAAAUUAUUAAUUUUUCCUCUCAACUU